ensembl:miRNA
CGUUCUUCACUGGCUAGCUUUAUGUCUCACUCCCCUCUGUAAAGCUGCCAGUUGAAGAGCUGU